UUUAGAACUCGAGAUAUGGGCUGAACACUGAACAAUAUCUGGGCUGCAGGACAGAUUUUGACUUCUCCGUUGUUGCUACAAUUUGAACUUGAAAAUGGUCCUUUUGAAUCUUGGACUCCCAUGAAAGUUUUAGGCCUAUGUCUUAGCUUUCUAUA
rfam:Populus trichocarpa scaffold_8_contig_207, whole genome shotgun sequence.